rnacentral:rRNA from 1 species
GCUUACCAUGCAGUCGAACGAUGAACCCGCUUGCGGGGGAUUAGUGGCGAACGGGUGAGAAACACGUGAGUAACCUGCCCUUAACUCUGGGAUAAGCCUUGGAAACGGGGUCUAAUACUGGAUAUUGACUUUUCCUCGCAUGGGGAUUGGUUGAAAGAUUUAUUGGUUUUGGAUGGACUCGCGGCCUAUCAGCUUGUUGGUGAGGUAAUGGCUCACCAAGGCGACGACGGGUAGCCGGCCUGAGAGGGUGACCGGCCACACUGGGACUGAGACACGGCCCAGACUCCUACGGGAGGCAGCAGUGGGGAAUAUUGCACAAUGGGCGAAAGCCUGAUGCAGCGACGCCGCGUGAGGGAUGACGGCCUUCGGGUUGUAAACCUCUUUCAGUAGGGAACAAGGCCAGUGUUUAGCUGGUUGAGGGUACUUGCAGAAGAAGCGCCGGCUAACUACGUGCCAGCAGCCGCGGUAAUACGUAGGGCGCAAGCGUUAUCCGGAAUUAUUGGGCGUAAAGAGCUCGUAGGCGGUUUGUCGCGUCUGCCGUGAAAGUCCGGGGCUCAACCCCGGAUCUGCGGUGGGUACGGGCAGACUAGAGUGAUGUAGGGGAGACUGGAAUUCCUGGUGUAGCGGUGAAAUGCGCAGAUAUCAGAGGAACACCGAUGGCGAGGCAGGUCUCUGGGCAUUAACUGACGCUGAGGAGCGAAAGCAUGGGGAGCGMACAGGAUAGAUACCCUGGUAGUCCAUGCCGUAAACGUUGGGCACUAGGUGUGGGGGACAUUCCACGUUUUCCGCGCCGUAGCUAA